UAGAUGUGAAGGGAAGAGAUGGACAGGUGGCUCAGAUGAGAUCAGGGCCACGUUGGUUGACCAUGUGCGCAACCAUGGAUUGAGUAUGAGGGAGACUGGGCAUAGUUCAGCCCAACCUGAGCCGCUACAUGGUUGCAGCUAUCAUCCGUACAUCCAGAAAUGAGAACUGAACUGAGAGACGGCCAGGUCAUGGUGGAAGACACCGGCUGUUCACACCAGAACAGGAGACCGCCAUUGUGAACAUGGUGGUGGCAAACACCAUUAGACUAUGAGAAAUCCAGAACCACAUAAUUGCAGACAAACACAAUAUUCAAUAACAUUCAGCAGGUGGGCUUGUCUACAUUGGACCGUGUAUUACAGCGCAACCGAAUCUGGAUGAAACAGGGUGCCAUUUGAGCAAAAGUCGGAGGGUUAAAGAACAGCGCUAUGAAGAUGUGCAAAGAGUCUUGGAGCUGGAUGCCACUGCAUCAGGGUUUUUAUAUUUACUUUGAGGCUUGCUUCAACCUAGCCAAAAAAAGGGGAUGGAACAUUAUUGGCCACCAUGCUGUUGUGAAUAUCCCUGGACAGCGUGGAGGGAAUCUCACCAUGUGCGCAGCCGUUGGCCAGCAAGGCGUCCUCCAUUGCCAUGCCAACCAUGGUCCCUACAACACCGCCUUUCUCAUCACAUUCCUGGACACACUACAUGGCAUCCUCAUUCUAGCCGAGCAGAGGGUUGGACCAGUGCAGCCCAGGUAUGUUGUUAUCUGGGACAAUGUGAGUUUCCACCGGGCUGCUCUGGUCCGCAACUGGUUCAUCGAUCACCCACAAGUUAUUGUUCUAUCCCUCCCAUCAUAUUCCCCAUUCCUAAACACAAUUGAAUAGUUUUAUUUCCCGGCAUGGCGAUGGAAGGUGUAUGACCAGCAUCCCCUCGCACGCACGCUUCUUCUCCAGGCAAUGGUGGAUGCAUGUGUUGAUGUGGGGACUUUCGGCGGCUGGAGCCGUCACUCCAGGAGAUUCCUUCCAAGCUGUUUAGCCAGGGA